rnacentral:rRNA from 1 species
AACGAACGCUGGCGGCAUGCUUAACACAUGCAAGUCGAACGAGACCUUCCGGUUUUUUGGCGCACGGGUGCGUAUCACGUGGGAACCUGCCCUUUCUUUCUCGGUACCUCCCCGAGAGGGUUGCUCAUAUAGCUUAAUCUCCUUGUUCCUAAGAUUUAUCGCCUUUGGAUGGGCCCGCGUUUGAUUUGCUCGUUGGUAGGGUAAAAGCAUACCAAGGCGACGAUCCAUAGCUGGUAUGAGAGGAUGAGCAGCCACACUGGGACUGAGACACGGCCCAGACUCGUACGGGAGGAAGAAGUGGGGAAUAUUGGACAAGGGGCGAAAGCCUGAUAAAGCAAUGCGGGGUGAGUGAUGAAGGACUUAGGGUUGUAAAGCUCUUUUAACCGGGAUGAUAAUGACAGUACCGGGAGAAUAAGCUCCGGCUAACUACGUG